rnacentral:sRNA from 1 species
UUCCGACGCCUGGUGGCGAUUCCUCCCUAAACCUCGGGCCGCGCCGCGAUCGCCGCGCGGUCCUUUUUUCGUCCCGGC